UUUCUGGUCAACCAAUUGUCUUUUCUUUUGAAUGGUCUUUCACAAAGGAAUUUCUCUAGCAUGUUUCUAAGGGUUCGAACUUUCUAGUCAUUGCUCAUUUUCAUUGGAGGAAGGUUGCUGCAGUUUCAUCUUGUACCCUCUACUACUGUAUCUGGUUCUUGAAAGUCUUUAGUUUUUUUAAAUAAAUUAUAAUCCUCACAACAAGGAGAACCAUGAUGGGUUGAGGAACUCGUGAGUGUAGUGAUAGCUUUUUAACAUGUUUGAUGUAUGUUUGUUCGGUGUCCUGAACAUUUCUUGCAUAUCUCCUUAUUGUUCUAGAGCAUGUAUGAAAGUUAAGGAGAGAUGAAGAAUUCGGCAAGCUGGCUGUUGUUGCUUAAGUGGCAGAAUAUGCAUGGAUGCAUCGACUUGCACAUAAGUGAUGCCCCGGUUAGGAGGCUAGAAGGUUGGCAAAGUGAUAGGAUUGCAAGGGGUUGGGGAAGACCUAAGAAAACUUGGAGGAAGGUGAUUGAGCACGAUCUGAGCCUACUUGGGAUUGAGGAAAAUAUGACGUUGGAUAGGAUAGAGUGAAGGGAGAGAAUAUACGUUGAUGACGUUAUUUGACUUAUACACCUUCCAUUUUAUUUUUUUAAUUUUUUUCUUCAAGGCUCACUUUUAAAUGCUAUUUUCAAAUAUACUAUUUUAUUUGUUUUUAAUUUUCUCGUUUUAAACUUUACUUAUUUUUACUAUCCCUUAUCACAUUUUUUUUUGUAAUAUAUAUAUUUACCUCUUAUUUUACUUUCAUAUUUUCACUUUCCCCCUCUUCCUUGUUUAUGCUUUUAACCUCCCGUUCUUAUCUUGUUUAUUUGGUCACAUUGACGAUCUCCUAUGUCGAUUCAUGUUAACGGUCCCCGAAUCAUUUUAGGACUAAGUUGUAUCUUACCUGGAGAAUGCUUGGUGACACGGAUAUGGAUAACACUUUGUAGUGAAUGGGACCUUGGGAGGUUGUGAUCUCUUAUUUUGGACGGUUGCAUGGUUCCUUAUUUUGGUUGCCCCAAAACAGCUUACACUUUCUUAGACAACCGUGCAACUUAGUUUCAGACAGAGGGACCGUCAUGGAGGGAAGUGAAAUCAGCAGCAGAGAAAUGAAUCAACACAAAUAACGUAGUCAAUGCAUAUGGCUACAUUACCUAGGACAAUUUGAAGAACUUAUUUAUGCCUUUUGUUAGACUCUCCAUAAUCAGAUUGCAAACAAUGUUUCCUGUUACCCUUGAUGAAUAUUACAAAGCAAAUAAUUCAUUAGGA